CUUUCUGGUUCUGAACACAAGAAAGUUAUCUAAUUUAUGGAUCAAAGGUGUCCUUUUUGUUAUCUUGUGAUUGUAAAGACUACAAGAUGAUCAUUUUUUUUUACUUAUUGGUAGUGGGCCAGAUAAAAAGAGCAAAUGGAUGACGUGUUAGAGCUACACCAGUGUCGAAGAUCUGAAAAAAAGUUUCCAUGGCCACCGCUUCUGUCGUAUAUGACUCAGUGAACCUCUCCACUUAUCUGUUACACUUGGUAAACCUUCCACCCUAUUGAUUCAUCUGCUUGAAGAUGUUUCAUCAUCGUUGCUCACUGAAAGCAGCAGCAACAACUACCUUGAUUUGAUAAAGUGACAUAGCGGUUUGUGGAGGAAGCACUACAAGAGCACGGAGGAGAGAAGAGGAUAUUUCCAAACGCAAGAAGGUGAUUCUGAAAAAAAAAGAGAAAGUCUGUUCUUCAGUUGUCUACGAGAUGAUUUUUGCUUUUAGCUGCAAGCAAAUAAUGAAAGUAUGAUUCUGUACUCAGAAGUCAAAAGGCUGGACUUAUCCACUCUUCUUACAAUUUAAACUGCAUCUGAAUAAGAUUUGUUGUUUUAGCUACAUCUUACAUCUCUGAAUAACUCUUCUAAAACUGUACGAUAUUUUUGUUUUAAAAGCCUUUCCAACCUUCUUGGUUGUGAAAUGUUUUAGAUCAUUUGGAGGAGUAAUAAAGUUUAUAUGUUAUCACAAAUCACAUAUAUAGAUUGAAUCAAAGCAACACAGGCAGAGAUAAACAUUGGCAUGCCAACGUAUGCACCACAAAAAGAACUAUUAAGUUAUCAUCAUAUCAAAAUCUAGGUGGCAUUAAGCACAGCCUAACAAAAAAAAAAUUUAAAAUACAGUGUAUUAGUGUUAUCGGCUAAAAAAAACUAUAAACAAAAACCGAGGUUGCGCAUUAAGAUAGUUAUCGUAAUUAAAUCCGGACACCCCUGUGAGCGAGAGUUUCAAAGUUAUCAAACUGUCAACCUCUAGGAUAUUAACUACUCCGUGCGCAGGGUGAAUUAAUUUGAUAAAUAUUUAAAAAUAUAGUAUUAAAAAAUUUAUUUUUAACAUUUGAUUAACUUUUUUACACAUAUAUAAUUAUAUUUUUUGUUGUUAUAAUAUAAGUUCUGCCGGAUGGAACGAAUCCAUAAUUAUUAUAAAUUGUGGACCUAAACAAUAAGUAUUAUAUCAUGGACCGAUCAGUUUGGGCCUAAAAACUUAUGACACAAAAACCUUAUACUUUUUUCCAUCAAACAUAUUCUUCUUCUUAUCAAAUUUAAUCUCAAAACUGAAUUAGGUUAAUAGAUGCAAUAGACACUUGCGCUUCAAUUUAUGUAAGGAGCCUUUGGUACACUGAGCGAUUGCUAAUAAGAGUUGUUACUAAACAACACAUACAACAUUCUCUUAUUAUACACGGUUAAACAAUACGAAAAUUCUAUAAGUUGUCCACUAGCUUUGGCAUUGUAUCCCAAUUAUUCAGUGCAUACCAUAUUUUCUAAAGAAUUUAAAAUAUAAGUUUAUUACGAUUUAAAAGGCUAUUUCUAAAUAAAAUACGAAAAAUAUAAGUAUGACAACUUUAAAAAUAAAUCAUCCCAAAUGAAGCAUAAAAUGAUUGUUCCAAAAUAUACAGUAAACUAAAAAUCUCUAACUCUUGAACCGCAAGAACAAAACGCCAUAACAAAAAUGUUGUAAUAAUGUAAAAUUGUAAAUAUAUAGAUCAGCAAUGACCCGUGUUAAUACUUUUUAUUCUUCAUAGGAUAUGUCAUAAGCAAAUCAUAUGGAAUUAUGCUUACAUUGACUUGAAGUAUUGUAUCUCUGGAAUUUUGGGAUCAAAUAAAAUUUGAGGACAUUCUAUAUGUUUGAAGCAAUCUAUAUAAGAAAUAGAUGUCCACAUAUCAUAACACUCCCAUUUGAAUCGAUUAGGACCAUCUCAGUAGUAAGACCACCUGCAAAAGAAUAUUAUUUCUAAAGUUGUAUGAUCUUCGCCUUGAUCUUCCACAUGGAUUGAAUGGUUCCAAGUUACACGCAAGGCUAAAAGCGGCCGUUGGAAGUCAAGGAGCAAUAUAUUUUUCUAGGUUGUUCAAUUUUCGGUAGUUGUAAUCACAAUGAACUUCGCAUAUGCUUCUUAAUUUCUUAUAUAGGGAUUUAAUGAAUAUAUUAUAUAUUUUAUGAGAAAGAUAUUAUGAGUGCCUAGCAAGUUUUCGAGAAAGAUAUUGCAAGUUUCUGUAUUACAGAAUAGUAUUUAAAACACAUUAACUUUGUGUUUUAAUGCGACGGUUGCUAUGAUAUUUAGUAAGGGAAAUAUGCGACCAACGUUAUAUUUUAAAACUAUGGUUUAUAUAAGGUGCUCUAGAAUUCUUUUAAAUAGGAUUUAGUAGGCAUACACAACUGCCACAUAAGAUGAGGUUUUUUUUUAAUUAAUACAAACUUAAGGUUCUUAUUUUUUAAGAGAUUCUCAAUUAAUAUAUAGGGAAAGUCAGGGUUAACGUAAACUUCCGUAUUCAGGUUAACAAAAUGCACAACUGCAUGUUUACAUAGUAAAUCCUACCUCACAUAACCAUACAAAACACGAAUACCUUGCAUUAACAGCCGCUCUUAUACGUUCAUUAUAAUAAAAUUGAUCACGUAUAAUUCUAUGUUUCUACUUUAUCAAAUAAAACCACACAUUAUAUGGUUUUUCCUUCAUCAACAAUAUAUGAAACUUUUAUUCUCUAUUCUAGACCACUACGACUAUACCAAACAAAACACUAGAGCCCACCUCUUAUACCAUUUUUAAACUAUAAUAACGUAUGCAUUUUUUAAUAUUAGAAAGCAAUUCUCUGUAAUUAAAGAAUAAUGCAAUAAAAAAACAAAAAAAUAUACACACAGAGCAAGAUUUAGUAAUAUACGUUCAUAAUAAAAAAAUUUAAAAGUGUGUUCCAAAAAAAAAAAAAAGAGAAAGUCUGUUCUUCAGUUGUCUACGAGAUGAUUUUUGCUUUUAGCUGCAAGCAAAUAAUGAAAGUAUGAUUCUGUACUCAGAAGUCAAAAGGCUGGACUUAUCCACUCUUCUUACAAUUUAAAUUGCAUCUGAAUAAGAUUUGUUGUUUUAGCUACAUCUUACAUCUCUGAAUAACUCUUCUAAAACUGUACGAUAUUUUUGUUUUAAAAGCCUUUCCAACCUUCUUGGUUGUGAAAUGUUUUAGAUCAUUUGGAGGAGUAAUAAAGUUUAUAUGUUAUCACAAAUCACAUAUAUAGAUUGAAUCAAAGCAACACAGGCAGAGAUAAACAUUGGCAUGCCAACGUAUGCACCACAAAAAGAACUAUUAAGUUAUCAUCAUAUCAAAAUCUAGGUGGCAUUAAGCACAGCCUAUAAUUAGACACGUCAGACAGGCUUCACAGUGUGGGCUUCGUCCACAGUCGAGCAUGUCACCGUGUGUUUGUGUUUUGCGUUUUGGUUCCGCGUGUAUUGUUGACUUAUGACAGGUUGUGAUUUUCUUGGAUAUUGAUUUAUGGAAUGGGCUGGGCUGGUUUACUAACUUUUAUGUUUGUUUAUGUACAAAACCAGUGGUCCAAUUAUAAAUAUAUACAACCAAAGCCUCUCUUCGUUAUCUUCCUCUUCCAUGUAGAGUAGGUUUCAGUCGGUUCAGUCUCCUCUGAGAAAUCAAAGUGACCCUUUCGGUUUCCAUGGAGCAGUGAAUCUUCUUCUACCUCUACAUCUCCCCUUCUUAACUCUUUGGAUCAUUAAUGCUUCAGAAUCCUAACAAUUCAGUUAUUCCUUCUUAUAUAACCUCAUCGUAAAAACUGAAACUUUACAUAUCAAAUCCAGUAAUCACCAUUACAGAUUUAGAGAAAUCUUCCAACCCUUUCUGUCAAGUGACAAUCUCACCAGAAGACGCCAAUUAAUUAAUUAAUCUGUUUGGUCUUCUUCAACCUAGAAAGACAAAGUCCUUCGUGGAUUAGAUCGGGACGGCUAUUGCAGCUUCGAUUGGCGGAAGAGCUAUCUGACUCUGAUCCAAAAAAUUCCGGAGGCGGAUCAUCAGAAUCAUCACUGCCUGUUACCCUUCCUCUUGAUUCAUACGCAAGCGCACAUGAAAACCCUAGGCAAACCCAUUAUCCAGGUUCCUCCUUGGCUUCUCUUUUUUCAUCACCUCUGUCUCUACUAUAUAAAUAUAAAUCUUAAUAUCAUGCUUUCAUUCAUUGUGUUUCGUCUAAUUGUUUGGAACUCAACGUAUCAAAAUACUCACUUUAAGAGUUACAAAAAAAUACUUACUUUUUAAAUUUAUUUUUGAACAGAGAACUUGGGAGAGGAUGGUGUCAACUUUUACGCUUUGGGCUGUGAGUCACAGACUGUAACGUUGGUAAUAUUUCUCAGCUCUCUACUCUUUCUGGUUCUGAACACAAGAAAGUUAUCUAAUUUAUGGAUCAAAGGUGUCCUUUUUUGUUAUCUUGUGAUUGUAAAGACUACAAGAUGAUCAUUUUUUUUUACUUAUUGUUAGUGGGCCAGAUAAAAAAGAGAAAAUGGAUGACGUGUUAGAGCUACACCAGUGUCGAAGAUCUGAAAAAAAGUUUCCAUGGCCACCGCUUCUGUCGUAUAUGACUCAGUGAACCUCUCCACUUAUCUGUUACACUUGGUAAACCUUCCACCCUAUUGAUUCAUCUGCUUGAAGAUGUUUCAUCAUCGUUGCUCACUGAAAGCAGCAGCAACAACUACCUUGAUUUAAUAAAGUGACAUAGCGGUUUGUGGAGGAAGCACUACAAGAGCACGGAGGAGAGAAGAUGAUAUUUCCAAAUGCAAGAAAGUGAUUCUGAAAAAAAAAAAG
rnacentral:lncRNA from 1 species